ensembl:lncRNA
GCAAGAUCCCCUGGAGAAUGAAAUGGCUACCCACCCCAGUAUUCUUGCCUGGAGAGUCCCAUGGAUGGAGGAGCCUGGCGGGUAACAGUCCAUGGUGUCACAAAGAGUCAGACAUGACUGGCAGACUAACACUUUUGUUCCAUGAGGUGACUCUGGGCGGGUUCUUGGAUGGUUUGGGGAUGGAGGCUGGAAGUGGCUUUAAUAAUUGAUCAUGCCUCCUUUGAUCUCCUUUAUUAUAUAACAAACCAGUAAAUACACAUAACUGUUUCUGGAGUUCUGUGAACCAUUCUAGCAAAUGACUGAGAAGCGGGGCGUGGAAACCCUGAAUUAUAGCCAGUAGGUCAGAAGUUUGGGUAGCUCUGGACUUGGAAUUGGCAUUUGAAAUGGGGGUGGUUUUGUGGGACUGAGCCCUUAACCUGUGAGAUCUGAUGUUACUGCAUCCAGAUGGCUAACUCUAAAAAUCAGGUACUGUCAAACUGUAGGGGUACCUAGCUUAUAUCAACCAAGAAUGGGAGAAUUGGUUGUGGUUGUUGGAAAACACCCCCUGGGUCUAUCUAUUUCUAAAUCGGAAGGGCCAUUGUAACAGUAACAGAAAACUUUACUGAGGAUUUGGGCUCAGAUGGCAAAGAGGCUGGUAAACGUUCAAGCUAAAUUCAAGUAAUUUAGUAUUUCAAGCUCUAAUUCUGUUAACAUCCUGAUUAAAUGCUGUCAUACAAUGGAGGAUUCCACGGACAGAGGAGCCUGGCAGACUACAGUCCAUGGGGUCGUGGAGUCAGACACGACUGAUGGACUAACACUUUCACUUAAUUUUUCAACCUCUCACUAUGUCCUUCUGUGGUGGAAGGGGCCAGGGCACUCUCUGGGGUUUCUUUCAUAAGGACACUAAUCCCAUUCCUGAGAGCUCCAUCUGCAUGACCUAAUCACCCCAAAGCCUCACCUCCUAAUACCAACACAUUGGGGGUUAGAUUUCAGCAUUUUUGGGGGACAUGAAUGUUAGUCUAUGGCAGCUGAUUUAGCUCCCAGUAUCAUGCC